rnacentral:rRNA from 1 species
UACGAAGGGGGCUAGCGUUGCUCGGAAUCACUGGGCGUAAAGCGCACGUAGGCGGAUUGCUAAGUCAGGGGUGAAAGCCUGGAGCUCAACUCCAGAACUGCCUUUGAGACUGCAUCGCUAGAAUCAUGGAGAGGUAAGUGGAAUUCCGAGUGUAGAGGUGAAAUUCGUAGAUAUUCGGAAGAACACCAGUGGCGAAGGCGACUUACUGGACAUGUAUUGACGCUGAGGUGCGAAAGCGUGAGGAGCAAACAGG